UACGUGGGUGGCAAGCGUUGUUCGGAAUUACUGGGCGUAAAGGGCUCGUAGGCGGCCAACUAAGUCAUACGUGAAAUCCCUCGGCUUAACCGGGGAACUGCGUCUGAUACUAGAUGGCUUGAGAUUGGGAGAGGGAUGCGGAAUUCCAGGUGUAGCGGUGAAAUGCGUAGAUAUCUGGAGGAACACCGGUGGCGAAGGCGGCAUCCUGGACCAACACUGACGCUGAGGAGCGAAAGCCAGGGGAGCAAACGGG
rnacentral:rRNA from 1 species